rfam:Lachnospiraceae bacterium M18-1 genomic scaffold acPFy-supercont1.5, whole genome shotgun sequence.
UAUAACGAGAGUUUGAUCCUGGCUCAGGAUGAACGCUGGCGGCGUGCUUAACACAUGCAAGUCGAGCGAAGCACUUUUUUAGAACUCUUCGGAGGGAAGAGAGGGUGACUUAGCGGCGGACGGGUGAGUAACGCGUGGGCAACCUGCCUUACACAGGGGGAUAACAAUUAGAAAUGAUUGCUAAUACCGCAUAAGACCACGGUACUGCAUGGUACAGAGGUAAAAACUGAGGUGGUGUAAGAUGGGCCCGCGUCUGAUUAGGUAGUUGGUGGGGUAGAAGCCUACCAAGCCGACGAUCAGUAGCCGACCUGAGAGGGCGACCGGCCACAUUGGGACUGAGACACGGCCCAAACUCCUACGGGAGGCAGCAGUGGGGAAUAUUGCACAAUGGGGGAAACCCUGAUGCAGCGACGCCGCGUGAGUGAGGAAGUAUUUCGGUAUGUAAAGCUCUAUCAGCAGGGAAGAAAAUGACGGUACCUGACUAAGAAGCCCCGGCUAACUACGUGCCAGCAGCCGCGGUAAUACGUAGGGGGCAAGCGUUAUCCGGAUUUACUGGGUGUAAAGGGAGCGUAGACGGACUUGCAAGUCUGAUGUGAAAAUCCGGGGCCCAACCCCGGAACUGCAUUGGAAACUGUAUAUCUAGAGUGUCGGAGAGGCAAGUGGAAUUCCUGGUGUAGCGGUGAAAUGCGUAGAUAUCAGGAGGAACACCAGUGGCGAAGGCGGCUUGCUGGACGAUGACUGACGUUGAGGCUCGAAAGCGUGGGGAGCAAACAGGAUUAGAUACCCUGGUAGUCCACGCCGUAAACGAUGACUACUAGGUGUCGGGAGGCAA